rnacentral:misc_RNA from 1 species
AUUCCUUUGGUGGCCCCGAG